rnacentral:misc_RNA from 1 species
CAGAGUUGCAAAACUCCCAACCAUUGUGAACGAACCGCUUUCGCUGCGACAGGGAGCGCUUCUAGCGCUUCUAGCCAGCGGCUGGCAAACUCUUUAUUAUAAUGUAUCUCUGAGUAACUUAUCAAAUAAGUCA